rnacentral:rRNA from 1 species
UUCCAGACUCCUACGGGAGGCAGCAGUGGGGAAUAUUGGACAAUGGGGGGAACCCUGAUCCAGCGACGCCGCGUGAGUGAAGAAGUAUUUCGGUAUGUAAAGCUCUAUCAGCAGGGAAGAAAGAAAUGACGGUACCUGACUAAGAAGCCCCGGCUAACUACGUGCCAGCAGCCGCGGUAAUACGUAGGGGGCAAGCGUUAUCCGGAUUUACUGGGCGUAAAGGGAGCGCAGGCGGCACGGCAAGUCUGGUGUGAAAGCCCGGGGCCCAACCCCGGGACUGCAUUGGAAACUGCCGGGCUGGAGUGCCGGAGGGGCAGGCGGAAUUCCUGGUGUAGCGGUGAAAUGCGCAGAUAUCAGGAAGAACACCGGUGGCGCAGGCGGCCUGCUGGACGGCAACUGACGCUGAGGCUCGAAAGCGUGGGGAGCAAACAGGAUUAGAUACCCGGGUAU